rnacentral:rRNA from 1 species
CCUACGGGAGGCAGCAGUGAGGAAUAUUGGUCAAUGGACGAGAGUCUGAACCAGCCAAGUAGCGUGAAGGAUGACUGCCCUAUGGGUUGUAAACUUCUUUUAUAUGGGAAUAAAAUGUUCCACGUGUGGGAUUUUGUAUGUACCAUAUGAAUAAGGAUCGGCUAACUCCGUGCCAGCAGCCGCGGUAAUACGGAGGAUCCGAGCGUUAUCCGGAUUUAUUGGGUUUAAAGGGAGCGCAGGUGGAUUGUUAAGUCAGUUGUGAAAGUUUGCGGCUCAACCGUAAAAUUGCAGUUGAAACUGGCAGUCUUGAGUACAGUAGAGGUGGGCGGAAUUCGUGGUGUAGCGGUGAAAUGCUUAGAUAUCACGAAGAACUCCGAUCGCGAAGGCAGUUCACUGGACUGCAACUGACACUGAGGCUCGAAAGUGUGGGUAUCAAACAGGAUUAGAUACCCUUGUAGUC